AACGAACGCUGGCGGCGUGCCUAACACAUGCAAGUCGUGCGAGAAAGUUUCCUUCGGGGAGCGAGUAAAGCGGCGCACGGGUGAGUAACACGUAGGUAACCUACCUUUCAGUCCGGAAUAACCAGCUGAAAAGCUGGCUAAUGCCGGGUAAGACCACGAUCUCUGCGGGGAUCGCGGCCAAAGGCGGCCUCUUCAUGAAAGCUGAU
rnacentral:rRNA from 1 species